rnacentral:rRNA from 1 species
UACGAAGGGGGCUAGCGUUGCUCGGAUUGACUGGGCGUAAAGGGCGCGUAGGCGGUUCGUACAGUCAGACGUGAAAUUCCUGGGCUCAACCUGGGGGCUGCGUUUGAUACGUGCGGACUUGAGUGCGGAAGAGGGUCGUGGAAUUCCCAGUGUAGAGGUGAAAUUCGUAGAUAUUGGGAAGAACACCGGUGGCGAAGGCGGCGACCUGGUCCGAUACUGACGCUGAGGCGCGAAAGCGUGGGGAGCAAACAGGAU